GACGAACGCUGGCGGCGUGCUUAACACAUGCAAGUCGAACGCUGAAGCACCAGCUUGCUGGUGUGGAUGAGUGGCGAACGGGUGAGUAAUACGUGAGUAACCUGCCCUUGACUCUGGGAUAAGCCCGGGAAACUGGGUCUAAUACUGGAUGCUACAUGUCACCGCAUGGUGGUGUGUGGAAAGGGUUUACUGGUCUUGGAUGGGCUCACGGCCUAUCAGCUUGUUGGUGAGGUAAUGGCUCACCAAGGCGACGACGGGUAGCCGGCCUGAGAGGGUGACCGGCCACACUGGGACUGAGACACGGCCCAGACUCCUACGGGAGGCAGCAGUGGGGAAUAUUGCACAAUGGGCGAAAGCCUGAUGCAGCGACGCCGCGUGAGGGAUGACGGCCUUCGGGUUGUAAACCUCUUUCAGCUGGGAAGAAGCCACAAGUGACGGUACCUGCAGAAGAAGCGCCGGCUAACUACGUG
rnacentral:rRNA from 1 species